GACGAACGCUGGCGGCGUGCUUAACACAUGCAAGUCGAACGGAAAGGCCCCUUUGGGGGUACUCGAGUGGCGAACGGGUGAGUAACACGUGAGUAACCUGCCCUUGACUUCGGGAUAACUUCAGGAAACUGGGGCUAAUACCGGAUAGGAAUCCUUGCUGCAUGGUGGGGGUUGGAAAGCUUCGGCGGUUUUGGAUGGACUCGCGGCUUAUCAGCUUGUUGGUGGGGUAGUGGCUUACCAAGGCUUUGACGGGUAGCCGGCCCGAGAGGGCGACCGGCCACAUUGGGACUGAGAUACGGCCCAGACUCCUACGGGAGGCAGCAGUGGGGAAUAUUGCACAAUGGGCGGAAGCCUGAUGCAGCAACGCCGCGUGCGGGAUGACGGCCUUCGGGUUGUAAACCGCUUUCAGCAGGGGCGAAGCUUGUGGUGACGGUACCUGCAGAAGAAGCACCGGCUAACUACGUG
rnacentral:rRNA from 1 species